ACCCCACGACAGGGGAGCGCCCACGAGGCGCUGAGAGUGCGGCACUGCCGCAGACCCUUGGAACCUGGCCGGGACCACCGGCGGAGGAAGUCGAUCAAGGGAGAUC
rnacentral:ncRNA from 1 species